rnacentral:lncRNA from 1 species
UGUGUGUGGCACUGUGUGUGCGUGUAUGUUAUGUGAGAUGCUGUGUGUGCAUGUGUGUGGUACUGUGUGUGCAUGUGUCUGUGUAUGUGAGGCGCUGUGUAUGCAUGUGUGUGUGUAUGUGAGACUUUGUGGAUGUAUGUGUAUAUGUGAGACACUGUGUGAAUGUGUGUGUGAGGUGUGCGUGUGUGAGAGACACUGUGUGCGUGUGUGUGAGACACUGUGUACGUGUGUGUGAGACACUGUGUGGAUGUAUGUGAGGUGUUGUGUGUGAGACACUGUGGAUGUAUGUGAGGUGUUGUGUGUGCAUGUGUGUGAGACACUGUGUGUGCAUGUGUGUGAGAUAUGUGUGACACUGUGCAUGUGUGUGUGUGUGUGAGAGACACUGUGUGUGGAUGUGUGUGUGUGAGAGGUCUUUGUGUGAGACACUGUGCGUGGAUGUGUGUGUGAGACACUGUGCGGAUGUGAGUGCACGCGCGGGGUCA